AGUGAACGCUGGCGGUAGGCCUAACACAUGCAAGUCGAACGGCAGCACAGUAAGAGCUUGCUCUUACGGGUGGCGAGUGGCGGACGGGUGAGGAAUACAUCGGAAUCUACUUUUUCGUGGGGGAUAACGUAGGGAAACUUCUGCUAUUACCGAAUACGACCACCGGGUAAAAGCAGGGGUUUUUGGCACUUUGGCGGUUGGAUGGAGCCGAUGCCGGAUUAGCUAGUUGGGGGGGUAAGGGCCCACCAAGGCGACGAUCCGUAGCUGGUCUGAGAGGAUGAUCAGCCACACUGGAACUGAGACACGGUCCAGACUCCUACGGGAGGCAGCAGUGGGGAAUAUUGGACAAUGGGCGCAAGCCUGAUCCAGCCAUACCGCGUGGGUGAAGAAGGCCUUCGGGUUGUAAAGCCCUUUUGUUGGGAAAGAAAAGCAGCAGGUUAAUACCCCGCUGUUCUGACGGUACCCAAAGAAUAAGCACCGGCUAACUUCGUG
rnacentral:rRNA from 1 species